rnacentral:rRNA from 1 species
UUAAUUAUUAAUAGUUAUGUUCUUUAAAAUUAAAGAUUUUGGCGGUAUUUUAAUCUUUUCAGAGGAACCUGUUCUAUAAUUGAUAUUCCACAAUAAUAUAAACUUAAUUUAGAAAUUUGUAUAUCGUCGUUUAAAAUAUUUUAUUAGAAAUUAAAUGUUUAUAAUUUUUUAUAAAAAAUAUAUUUCAGAUCAAGGUGCAGUUUAUAGUUAAGAAGUAAUGGGUUACAUUAAAAUUAUUUUUGGAAAAAAAAAUUAAUUUUUUUUUAAAAUUGGAUUUGAAUGUAAUUAAAUAAAUUUUUAUUUAAUGAAUUUAGCUCUAAAAUAUGUACACAUCGCCCGUC